UACGUAGGUGGCAAGCGUUGUCCGGAUUUACUGGGCGUAAAGAGCGCGCAGGCGGUCGUUCAAGUCGCGUGUGAAAGCCCCCGGCUCAACUGGGGAGGGUCACGCGAUACUGAUCGACUCGAAGGCAGGAGAGGGUAGUGGAAUUCCCGGUGUAGUGGUGAAAUGCGUAGAUAUCGGGAGGAACACCAGUGGCGAAGGCGGCCUUCUGGACAGUGACUGACGCUGAGACGCGAAAGCGUGGGGAGCAAACAGG
rnacentral:rRNA from 1 species